rnacentral:lncRNA from 1 species
CCCCUUCAUUUUAUUCCAUGGUACCAACUACCAAACACCUUUUCAUUUUUCGUUUGUUAAGAAAUUAUAGAUAGUAUCUUCAUAGAGCAAAACCAAUUCGAAUCUUCUGUUUCAUUCUAAUGUGACACCUUCAAUUAAAUUUAUGAUUUUUUUUUUUUUUGAUCGGGCAAAGUCAUGUUAGAUGUUAGUAAUUAGUUUCUCAUCCACUCCAAGAAC